rnacentral:rRNA from 1 species
CGUAGGAGGCAAGCGUUAUCCGGAUUCACCGGGCGUAAAGCGCGUGCAGGCGGUUCGGUAAGUUGGGCGUGAAAUCUCCUGGCUUAACUAGGAGAGGCCGUUCAAUACUACCGGGCUAGAGAGUGGUAGAGGAAGAUGGAAUUCCCGGUGUAGUGGUGAAAUGCGUAGAUAUCGGGAGGAACACCAGUGGCGAAAGCGAUCUUCUGGACCAUUUCUGACGCUCAUACGCGAAAGCUAGGGUAGUAAACGGGAUUAGAGACCCCGGUAAUCCUAGCUGUAAACGAUGUAAACUUGGCGUCGGUGGCUUAAACUCCGUCGGUGCCGCAGCAAACGCGAUAAGUUUACCGCCUGGGGACUACGAUCGCAAGAUUA